rnacentral:misc_RNA from 1 species
GUGAAUCAUCGAAUCUUUGAACGCAAAUUGCGCCUUUUUCGGAAGGCAUGUCUGUUUGAGGGCACCAUUUAACAAAUAAUGUGCACCGUUUUGUGUGUGCACACGUUGAUGAGCUUUCCAGGAAAAAUUUUUUUUUUUUUUUUUUUUGGUGGCGCAUAAUGAAAAGCGCGAAAGCUUUUUUUUUAGUUCGAGUGUAGUAAAAUCUUUGCUUGGGUUGUGAAAAAAAAUAAUCCCGCAAUGGGUUGGGCAAUUUCUUUUUAUC